GUUAGGGUUAGGGUUAGGGUUAGGUUUUAGGAUUAGGGUUGGGGUAGGUUUUAGGUAUAUAUUCCCUGUUACCUCCCCUUAAUAUGAUGCUCCGAUUGUAUAUGAGUCCCAUCCCCAGGUGAGUAUAUUUAUGCGUUUUCUGUCUGUUUUGGCAGGUCCAGGAGGGCGAGCGAGGGAGAGUGAGAGCCGUAAGAGGAUUGGAGGCACUGGCUGGUUAGGUUUGGGGGUAGGUUUUAGGCCCCCUGGAUGUCUGGUGCCCAAUUUGGAGAUCCAAAGGAGCUCCGCCCGGUGGCGUUGGGCGAGGCUCCAUUUGGGAUCCGUCUCUACGACAGUCGCCCGGACGGAAGACCACCCGUGUCGGAGAAAAUGCUGAACCAGACUAUGAAGGGCCUCGACUUCUCCGCGUGUCAAAUUGGGAGCGACCGCAGGUGCGCAACCCGAACCGGACAUGGAGAGCCCGUCGGACCGGACCAUAGCCUGGAAUUCCGGAG